UGGCUAACUCCUACGGGAGGCAGCAGUGGGGUAUCUUAGACAAUGGGGGAAACCCUGAUCUAGCCAUGCCGCGUGAGCGAUGAAGGCCUUAGGGUUGUAAAGCUCUUUCGUGGGGGAAGAUAAUGACUGUACCCCAAGAAGAAGCCCCGGCUAACUCCGUGCCAGCAGCCGCGGUAAUACGGAGGGGGCUAGCGUUGUUCGGAAUUACUGGGCGUAAAGCGCACGUAGGCGGACCGGAAAGUCAGAGGUGAAAUCCCAGGGCUCAACCUUGGAACUGCCUUUGAAACUCCUGGUCUUGAGGUCGAGAGAGGUGAGUGGAAUUCCGAGUGUAGAGGUGAAAUUCGUAGAUAUUCGGAGGAACACCAGUGGCGAAGGCGGCUCACUGGCUCGAUACUGACGCUGAGGUGCGAAAGCGUGGGGAGCAAACAGGAUUAGAUACCCCAGUAGUCCAGCUGG
rnacentral:rRNA from 1 species